UGCCUUGGAGGCCUCUGUUCCAAAAACUUCGUUUCAAGCUACAAUUACGGGACUCAGGUGGUCGAGUUGACGGAUCGAGUGAUCAAUUUAAAGAAAGACGGAGAAAAAAUUGAAGUCGUUGUUGAGAAGGCGCCAGAUGGUGCAGCAAUUGAAUUACCUCUUGAUCACACAGUUGUUGGUCAAGAACUAUUACUUGAUCAAGUUUGGAGAUGUAUCACUGAUCAGGAAAAUAAUAGGGAAAUUAUCGGCCUGUAUGGUAUCGGGGGAGCCGGCAAAACUACCCUUUUAAAACAAGUCAACAACAACUUCUGCCAUCAACAGCAUAAUUUUGAUGUUGUUAUCUGGGCGGCUGCGUCAACACUUCAAGAUGACAUUGGAAAAAGGAUUGGCUUUUCAGAAGACCAAAGCUGGGAGAAAAAAAGUCCUCAAGACAAGGCUGUGGACAUCGCUAGCAUUUUAAGCAGAAGGAAGUUUGUGUUGUUAUUGGAUGAUAUAUGGAAACCCAUUCAUUUAACAGAAUUGGGUGUCCCUCUUCAAAAACUAAAUGAUGGGUCCAAAGUAGUCUUGACAACUCGUUCAGCUGGUGUUUGCGAUCAAAUGGACGCUGAAAAGGUGGAAGUGUAUAGUUUGGCGCAUGAUAAAGCCUGGGAAUUAUUUCAGGAGAUGGUCGACAGAUCCACUCUUGACAGUCAUACCGGUAUUCCAGAGCUAGCCGAAACCUUGGCAAGAGAGUGUGGUGGGUUGCCGCUAGCGCUUAAAACAGUGGGUCGAGCCAUGAAAAGCCAAAGGAAAGUUGGAGAUUGGAAACGUGCAAUUCACAAAAUGAGAACAUCAGCUUCUAAAUUCUCAGGUAUGAAAGAAGAGGUGUUUUCGCGUUUAAAGUUCAGCUAUGAUAGUUUGUCUACGGAUGAACUUCGUUCCUGUCUCCUGUAUUGUUGUUUAUAUCCUGAAGACUACGAAAUUCCUAAAAGGGAAUUGAUUGAUUAUUGGAUUAGUGAAGGAUUUGUAUAUGAUUUUGAUGAUGGAUGUGAUUUUAUUGAUGACCUUCUUCAAGCAUGCUUAUUGGAGGAAGAAGGCGAUGAUCAUGUAAAGAUGCACGAUAUGAUUCGUGAGAUGUCAUUAUGGAUAGCGUGCACGGUAGACAAGGAGGAGGAGAACUUUCUGGUUCGCGCUGGAGUUGAAUUGACCGAAGCACCAAAGUUUGAAGAAUGGGAAGGUGCCAAACGGGUAUCUCUGAUGGGAAAUGGAAUUAGGAGCUUAUCGGAAAUUCCCACGUGUCCGCGCCUCUUAACUUUACUUCUGGGUGGAAAUCGGAUUGAGGAGAUUACUGAUGGCUUCUUUCAAUCGAUGUCUUCUCUUAGAGUAUUAAGUCUAAGAGGAAAUUUUCCCCUAAGAACACUACCUUCAGGGAUUUCAGGUUUGGUUUCAUUACAUCAUCUUGAUCUAUCAUCGACUAACAUAACUGGGUUGCCGCAAGAGCUGAAGGCGUUGGAGAAGUUGAGAUAUUUGAACUUGGACUAUACACGGUUUUUGUCUAUAAUUCCACAUCAAUUGAUAUCUGGUUUUUCAAAGUUGGAGGUACUCAGGUUGCUUUCACGCGGUCGCUGGAGCGUAAUAGAAGGUAACGUUCUAUGUGAUGAUGCUGAACCUUUGAUGAAGGAAUUGCUGGGUUUGAAGCAUUUAAAUGUUUUAAGCUGGACCUUCCGAAGUUCACUUGCUGUCCAAAAGUUUUUGAAAUAUCCAAAGCUGGUGAGCAUCACUCAAUCUGUAAUGGUUUGCCAAUGUGAAAGUCCACCGUUCAAUGUCUUACAUCUAGCAUACAUGGAGAAUCUUCAGGAGUUACGCAUUUCAGACAGUAAUUUGGAAGAGAUGAAGACUGACAGCACAGAAGAGGUAAAGAAACUUUUUCAAAGUGGUUUCCGCAGUCUCGACAGAGUUGUCAUAUGGAGUUGCCAAAAAAUGAAAGACUUAACGUGGCUAGUUUUUGUUCAAAUUCUCAAGCAGCUGCGUAUAGUCUUUUGUACAGAAAUGGAAGAAAUAAUUAGUGUUGAUAAAUUGAGAGAUAUUUCGAAGAUAAUCGGGUCAGAGCAUAACUUUUUUGCACAACUCGAAUCUCUAACCAUAAAGUGGGGAAGAAAUUUAAAGAGCGUUUACCCGAAUCCCCUGCCCUUUCCAAAGCUGAAGAAAAUUGAAGUACGUGAAUGCCCACAGCUGAAGAAGCUCCCACUCAAUUCCAGCAGCGCGAAGGAACGUCGAGUUGUCAUCGAGGGGUCGAAAAAAUGGUGGGAAGAGCUACAAUGGGAGGACCAAGCCACCCAAAAUGCUUUCUCUUCCGGUGUCGUACUUGGGGAUGAUUUUCAUUAAUAUGUUUGAAUAUGUAUUUCUUUUCUUUUUCUUUUUUUUUUUAAUUUUCAUUAGAUUUAAUUGCAUCUUGUUGUUGUUGUCUGGUGUGUCAAUCGUUAUCUAUUUUCAGUUAAUAAAAUUUCAGCAGUGGAUUCUUGGUUUUAGAAUCCUCCCACUGGAAAGAAUUUCUCCUUUGGCUUGAAUGCGACCUUUUUACUCGUCGACAAAAUUGUAUUUGUCGCUUAAGUCUUGUUUGUUUUAAAAUGCUGGCAUAUUUAUAGAGUGGGAACUCAGAUGCUGAACUCAUAGUAAAUAUUUAUUUAAUUUGUUAUAAUUAUAUUUGGUGAGAUAUUUAUUCAAUAAUUGCCCUAUCACUUUGUGCAUGAUCACAGAAUUUUGUACUUCCGUCUGUGAAAUAACUUUUGGAAAAGGAAAUUAAUUUUUUUAAGUAACGGUAAAUAUUUUAAAUUUUUAUUUUAAAUUUUAUUUUAAAUAAUAUAGUAUGUAAUGUGUCAUUUAUUUAGUGAUUGAUAAUUUAAUAUAGGAUUUAAAUAAAUUAAUUAUGCUAUUUUAUUAUUUAAUUAAUAAAUAUUAUAUAAUUUAAAAUAGAUUUUUGAGAUAAAAAUUAUAAAAGUAAAAUUCUACUCAACAGACUAAAUUUAAAAUGAUGUGAUUGGCAGGUAAGACUUAAGAAUUAGACAAAAUUUCUCAUUCAACAGCUUGUAGAAAAUUUAUACACUAGGCCUUAGCUAAACUUGGACUUGUCGUAUGUUUGAAGUAUUCGACGAUAAUCAUAUCUGCAUUUUGUGAAAUAAUUAAGAUUUUUUAUUUUUGGUUUGUUUAGGGCUUUUCAUCGGUCUUCGUCUUGGUCUUUGUCCUGGUCUUGGCGUCUUGCUAUCAAAUCAAGUGUUCUCUUCUCCCAUCCUCUAAUGAAAGUGCAGGGCCUCAAUUAUUUGUGCUGAGCUGUUUGUUACUGCUAUCACUUUAGAGGUUGAUGCUAAUGUCCAAAGGUCACAUUUAAUUUGCUUGAAUGCGACCUUUAUUUUGGUUGACAAAGAUUAUUUGGUUGCAAAGAUUAUAAUUAACAACAAGCUAAUAUCUAUAUAGUAGAGAGAGAAAUAACAAAUUCAAUGUUGGUAAAAUUUUAUCUUCCCUUCACUGCUCUCCUUUGCUGCAAUCAAGCUACAGUUGUAAAGUGUUUGAUAAACACUAAUUGUUGUGUCUUGAAAGAUAUGUUGAUAUAAUUUUUCACUUGUAUAAUAGAGAAUCUAUUAUGUUAUUAUUAAUAAUUUCGUCAAAAUUAUUAUUUAAAAUUUUAUAUUUAAUAAAUAUUAUUAACUUUUGUUUUAUAGUUACAAUUUUUUUUUUUUUUACAACAACUGUUGCUUAAAAAUUAUAACACUUCAAUUCCAAACAUACCUUAAGUCUAUAAGGCAUAAGUUUUCACUCUUCAGAAAGGUGUUUGAUGGAAAUGUAAAGAAGUUCGAUGAAAUGUCUCACCUACACAACCAAGCCACUUAACAUUGCAGUCUUAUAAUACGAAUUCCUGCCUUCUCUUCCAUUUUCACAAACAUAAUUCUUUCUUUCUCACUUUAUUUUCUUCCUUGAAAUUUUUGUUAACAAAAAUGGGUAACAUCAUUCUCAUGCGUGCUUCUUAUCACCAGACUCAAUUCUUGCAGUUUUAUUUUAUUUUAUUUUAUUUUUCCUUCGUGGAGAUGCUAAAAUAUAUAUGAGAUCUAAAAAGCUAAUCUUGAUGAGUUGCAGAAUCCAAUGCAGAAUUUGAAAGUUACAAAAGAUUAUAAAUACUAUUUUAACUUGUAAGCUUCCAUUGCUAUACAGUGAGGUAUGUCUAGAUAUCAUUUUGGUCUUUUAUAUAUUGGGUUCCAGUGAAAGACUUUUGUUCUAGUUGAAUUUAAUUUUGUCUUUGUAUUUACAGACAAACUAUUAGGGACAUUUAUCAUACAUAUUUGGCUAGUUCGCCGUGGAAAAAUAAUAAUAGUUGAAAAGACAUAGGGUACUUUUUAUUUUCCUUUAUAUUACUAAUAGAUUUCCCACGCGCAACAGACGAAGUCAUUGCUGCUUCAAUAAUUGCCCUAUCACUGUGUUCAUCAUCACAAAUUUCUUUAUUACGUUUGUGAAAUAACCUUAGCAUAACAAAAUUACUCCUCCUUUUUAACUAAUAAUAGAUAUCUCAAAUUUUAUUUUCAGAAUAUGGUAUGUAAUGUAAGUGAUUGAUAGUUCUUUAUAAAAUAUAUAAAUAAAUUAAUAGUGUUUUCUUAGUGUCUAAUAUAUAUAAAUCACUUGCUCCAUAUAUUGCACUAUUGAUAUGGGCUAAAGUUUUAUACUAUGAGACCCAAUUUCUAUAAUUUACACUAUAAGUUACAAGUAUUUAGGAAAAUACUAUUGCAAAUCAGAAGGUAUUAUCUAUUUUAUACCUAAAGCAUUUCACUAUUUAAGACUAGUAAAACUUCUAUAUUAUUAUAAUAUUUGAAUCAAACACCAAUAAGCGAGUAAAUCAGGUGGAAUGAGAAUGUUCUAACUUAACCAAGGUCCUCGGUUUGAAACUUAGAAAUGCAACUACAUUAAAUACUUAUUGGGAGAGAUUUGCCGCUUUAGUGGUCCUAUCCCGCUUGAAUCUAGAUUAGUCGGGGAUCUAAUGUGGUCUUUGGAUACUAGAUGAUUUAAAAUACCGAUAAUAUUGGAACCAAACUAAUUUACAAUUAUGAAGAUGUUAUAAUUUAAUAGAGGCAUAGUAACAAACUAUUAAUAGAGCGUAUAAAAUUUAAUGUAUAAACAAAAUUCUAUAAUUUACACUAUAAGUUGCAAGUAUUUAGGUCAAUACUAUUGCAAAUCAGAAGAUAUUAUCUAUUUUAUGCCGAAAAUAUUUCCACUAUUUAAGGAUAGUAAAACUUCUAUAUAAUUAUAAUAUUGGAACCAAACACCAACAAGCGAGUAAAUCAACUAGAAUGGAAAUGUUCUAACGUCAAGGUCCUCGGUUCAAAACUUAGAAAUGCAACUACAUUAAAUAUUUAUUGGGAGAGAUUUGCCGCUCUAGUAGUUCUAUCCGGGUCGAAUCUGGAUUAGUCGGGAAUCUAAUGUGGUCUUUGGAUACUAGAUGAUUUAAUGUACCAAUAAUAUUGGAACCAAACUAAUUUACAAUUAUGAGGAGGUUAUAAUUUAAUAGAGGCGUAGUAACAAACUAUUAAUAGAGUGUAUCAAAUUUAAUAUUGGAAUCCGAUGAUUGGUUGCAACAUAAGAUAUUUGUAAGCUUAGUUAAAGGUUCAUUAAAAAUUAUAGAGAUAUAUAAUUUCGCAGUCGAUGAAGCCGUGCAUGAGGUUAAGGCAAGUGAUGGAAUGACUUGCGUUACAAAAGAGGUAUGUGAAGUUGCACUAUAAAAAUAAAAUAAAUUUGUAUUUUCAAGUAGUGAAGGUGUAGUUAGUUUAUUUGCGGUAGCAGUUUCACAGCUGACAGAUGAACAAAGAGUGGUUGCUUGUCAAAUGGGCUUUGGUAGUUUGCGACAACUGAACCUUGGCAAGCUAAAAAGGAAACUUUGUGGCUAGUUAAUUGAGAUGAUUGAUACUUUGAGGUACAUUUUAGAGUUGAAUGGUAUUAGCUUUCAAACAAGAUCAUCAAAGAAACUCUACCAACUAGGAAAUUUAAACUUAAUCUAUGCUCCGCAAAUUCGAAUAUUCUCUAAUAUGAAACUACUUUUAUGUGUUUUAUUAUUCCUAGCUUUUACCGACUUGGUAACGUUGUUAUGGAAGCACGACAACUAUUAUGUCCGUGUAAUUUUUAUUGUAUCUUUUGUUAUGUCAUGAUAUCGAAGCUUAGUUUUAUGACUCUAACUACUAAGAACUGCAAUUGCAGCAUCUUUUGAAUAUUACAUAUGUGCUUGUAGUAUCUCGACGGAUUAAAACCUGCUAUUUAAGUUCUUCUACCCCCUCCCCCCCUUCAUUCUUUCAUUUAUACUUGCUGCACUAUUUACUUCGCACUCUGUAAAGCCAGAUGAAAGCUUGUUCAUUUAUGUUCACUUGCAAUUCAAAAGCACAGUUUAUUUCAACUGUCAAAUUGACAACUUGCACGUAUAGAUUUCAGUCGAAACAAGGUUAUUGGUCGAUCAAGAAAUUGAAUCCAUAUGGCCGUUCCAGCGUUAUUCAACUACCUAAUAUCAAAUAUAUAAAUUAAUUCAACCCACUUCUGUGUCAAAGGCAUGGAACAAAUUAUGAAAGAUUUUUCAGCUAUCAUAAAUUCGAACGAGUGUAGUUUGUAUCCUUUCGAACUUAGACAGAUUUUCCUUCCAUUAACCUUAUAGUGUUAGUAAUCCUAUUACUUGUUUUUAAAGCUUGAAUAGUAUACCGAAAUUUUUGGUUUUUGCAACAUAAACUUGUAUGUAAUGUACAUUUUAUAGUUCUUUACAAAUUAAUUGCUGCUAAAAUAAUUGUUUCGACUACUAUAUUUAUUGUUAUAAUAGAUAAACAUUUUCUUGCAACUCAAACAGUUCCAAUGGCAUGAUCUGCAUCCCCCGUUUGCCUCUUGGGCUACGAACCUGCUUAACAGCUGCACCAUCUUGCUCCUUUUCAUCAAACGGCAACUUCGCUGCAGACAAAAAGAGGGGGUACACUGCCCAGGGGCACCAUAAACGCAGCCCAAAAAGAUGAUUUUGUCUUUCCAUGUCUUAGUAUUUUAACCAAAAAUAAUAAUAAUAAUUCUUUACAUCAUCAAUGAUUGCACUUGUAAGCCAGGCAAUAGUUUUUUUAUUAAAUAAAAAAUUAAUGUUAAAUUUUUUUUUUUUUUUUUUUUUUUUUUAUCUAGCUAUCAUUGACUUAAUAUUUUGAAUCUUCAUCCAAAGUUAAGGCACAAAACUUUUAUUCUAAAUAAAUAUUCUCAAUAUAAAUUUAUCACUUAAAUAAUAAAUAAUAAGAUUUAACAUUAAUUCUGUCGUUACUGAAAUGAAUUGUAAAUUUUAUAUGACGUGUAAACGUAUCAUUAUGUUCUUGAUAUUUGACAUAUGAAUUAUAAAGCAACAAAUGUAUCAUAUUUUUAUUUCGGUAUUGUGCUUCUCCAUAUUUGCUUAAUUCUUUUCGUUGUACUCAUUGCUUCUCUUCCUCUUUUCGUCAACGACAAUGGGUAACCUAAUCUCAACCUUCUUACCAGCAGACUUAUUUGAUCGAAUUUCAAACUGCGUUGGUGAACAAGCAAAAUAUGUAUGGGGUCUCGAAAAAAAUCUUCGGAUCUUGGAGACUGAAUUGCACAAAUUGACUCGAGCAAGGGCCGAUCUGAAGACCAGGGUUGAGGUCGAACAACAACGACCUCGAACCAGACGAACGAACCAGGUCGCAGGGUGGCUUGAAGAUGUGCAAAAUCUGGAAACUGAAUUUGCCGAGCUGGAACGAGUCAGAGCUCAAGAAAUGGAUAGAUUGUGCCUUGGAGGCCUCUGUUCCAAAAACUUCGUUUUAAGCUACAAUUACGGGACUAAGGUGGUCGAGUUGACGGAUCGAGUGAUCAAUUUAAAGAAAGACGGAGAAAAAAUUGAAGUCGUUGUUGAGAAGGCGCCGGAUGGUGCAGCAAUUGAAUUACCUCUUGAUCACACAGUUGUUGGUCAAGAACUAUUACUUGGUCAAGUUUGGAGAUGUAUCACUGAUCAGGAAAAUAACAGGGGAAUUAUCGGCUUGUAUGGUAUAGGGGGAGUCGGCAAAACUACCCUUUUAAAACAAGUCAACAACA
rnacentral:lncRNA from 1 species